GGAUUAGAUACCCUGGUAGUCCACCCCGUAAACGUUGGGAACUAGUUGUGGGGUCCAUUCCACGGAUUCCGUGACGCAGCUAACGCAUUAAGUUCCCCGCCUGGGGAGUACGGCCGCAAGGCUAAAACUCAAAGGAAUUGACGGGGACCCGCACAAGCGGCGGAGCAUGCGGAUUAAUUCGAUGCAACGCGAAGAACCUUACCAAGGCUUGACAUAUACGAGAACGGGCCAGAAAUGGUCAACUCUUUGGACACUCGUAAACAGGUGGUGCAUGGUUGUCGUCAGCUCGUGCUG
rnacentral:rRNA from 1 species